rnacentral:rRNA from 1 species
UGAACGCGAAGAACCUUACCUGGUCUUGACAUCCACAGAACUUUCCAGAGAUGGAUUGGUGCCUUCGGGAACUGUGAGACAGGUGCUGCAUGGCUGUCGUCAGCUCGUGUUGUGAAAUGUUGGGUUAAGUCCCGCAACGAGCGCAACCCUUAUCCUUUGUUGCCAGCGGUCCGGCCGGGAACUCAAAGGAGACUGCCAGUGAUAAACUGGAGGAAGGUGGGGAUGACGUCAAGUCAUCAUGGCCCUUACGACCAGGGCUACACACGUGCUACAAUGGCGCAUACAAAGAGAAGCGACCUCGCGAGAGCAAGCGGACCCCAUAAAGUGCGUCGUAGUCCGGAUUGGAGUCUGCAACUCGACUCCAUGAAGUCGGAAUCGCUAGUAAUCGUGGAUCAGAAUGCCACGGUGAAUACGUUCCCGGGUCUUGUACACACCG